rnacentral:rRNA from 1 species
GAAGGGGGCUAGCGUUGUUCUGAAUUACUGGGCGUAAAGCGCGCGUAGGCGGUUUUGCAAGCCAGAGGUGAAAUGCCUGAGCUCAACUUAGGAAUUGCCUUUGGGACUGCGAGGCUUUGGGGACUGGAGAGGUGAGUGGAAUUCCCAGUGUAGAGGUGAAAUUCGUAGAUAUUGGGAAGAACACCAGUGGCGAAGGCGGCUCACUGGCCAGUUUCUGACGCUGCAGCGCGAAAGCGUGGGGAUCAAACAGGAUUAGAUACCCUGGUAGUCCACGCUGUAAACGAUGAGUGCUAGGCGUCGGCACGCUUGCGUGUCGGUGCCGCAGCUAACGCGUGAAGCACUCCGCCUGGGGAGUACGGUCGCAAGAUUA